rnacentral:pre_miRNA from 1 species
AAUGGGAUAAUUGGGUCAAAUGGUGGUUCCAUUCCUAGUAGUUUUUAAGCAAUCUCCAUACUGCUUUCCAGAGUGGUUGCACCAAUUUGCAGUCCCACCAGCAAU